UAUCCCCUGCCCCAAUCCCCUCCUUCCCCUCCUGUCGCGCCGCCGGCUCCACGCGGCAGCUGACUCGGCCUUCUCUCCCCGGCGCUCGAGGUGCAGCAGCGGGUGCGGCAGUUCUCGGCCCAGCCGGGGCGAGCGCAGGUCGCCGGCAUCACGCGCCGCCGUGAUUCUGGAUCCGGCGCAGAUCUUUGCGCUGCCACCUCUCCUCCUCCUCGUCGUCCUCUUCUCUCUCUCUCUCCCAUGCCGCCAUCGUUGUAAGAAGGAGGGGAGAUAGGUGCCAAGGACAAGAAGCAACAGGUUGGUCGCGGUGGGCUUGAGCUGCUAGGGAGAUGGAGGAGGCCGUCGUGGUUCGUCGUGGAGGCGGCGCCGCCAGCAAGCUGGUUGAGGUACAUUACUGAAGAGAAGGCUAUGAGCCAAAGAGAAGUGAUGAUGAAUAUGCCAUACGUUUAGUUGCUACAUAAUCUCUGUAUGGUGUAAGUACCUGAUGUUCAUUACAUUGGAGGGAAAGGACACCAAGAGUAAGAGAGACAGACCAAUACAUGACUAGAGAUAGUAGAAUCAGAUAUAGUAAGAGAAGCCGAUGGUAUUGCCAUGAGCUCUCGUAAUGUGAGUCUAUUGCCUGAGGAAAGGGAGAAGCCGUACGUGCCCUCCGCUCCCAGCUGCACCUCUGCUUUUCCCCUGCUUCCUCGCUUGGCAAUUGGCAUUAAGAGGUGACACAUCAGGUCAAUCGAGGGUUAUUUGGAGGGCACCAGAAGAGAGAUCAUAUCAUAUUUUCUAUCAGUUGGGCUCUGGAUCUUCUCCUUUUCAGAUAAGCAACCACACAUUUCUAUCAAGGAAUUCAUAUAUCUUACAUUUCAUUGCAUAUCCUUUGUCAUUUUUUAAUCUGUUAUAGGCAUGUGCUGUUGUAGAAAAUUUGUUUCUGAGACACACCGGUUACUAUAAUUACGUGGUAUGGCGGGAUGUGGAGUAUGGAGAUGGCGUGGGUUAGAGGAUGGCAGCGGGAUAAGCCGGAAAGGCUGGGCCGAGGAGAAGGAGCACUCAGCUAUGGUGUCUAGUGUAGGGAUGGGACUAGGAUCUGCGU